CCUACGGGAGGCAGCAGUGGGGAAUAUUGCACAAUGGGGGAAACCCUGAUGCAGCGACGCCGCGUGAAGGAAGAAGUAUUUCGGUAUGUAAACUUCUAUCAGCAGGGAAGAAAAUGACGGUACCUGACUAAGAAGCCCCGGCUAACUACGUGACAGCAGCCGCGGUAAUACGUAGGGGGCAAGCGUUAGCGGUAUUUACUGGGGGAAAAGGGACCUUAGGCGGCGUUGCAAGUCAGAAGUGAAAGCCCGGGGCUCAACUCCGGGACUACUUUUGAAACUGUGUUGCUAGAUUGCAGGAGAGGUAAGUGGAAUUCCUAGUGUAGCGGUGAAAUGCGUAGAUAUUAGGAGGAACACCAGUGGCGAAGGCGGCUUACUGGACUGUAAAUGACGCUGAGGCUCGAAAGCGUGGGGAGCAAACAGGAUUAGAUACCCGGGUAGUC
rnacentral:rRNA from 1 species